rnacentral:tRNA from 1 species
GCUUUAGCCAAGCGGUAAGGCAUCAGACUUUGACUCUGACAUUCGUUGGUUCAAAUCCAUCAGG